rnacentral:ncRNA from 1 species
AAUAAACGAACAAGCGGUGGAAACCCAUGCAGCCGGAUGAUUGGCUAGUCGCCAAUCAUAGCAGUUCGCCCAAGAGCGCAAUUGUGAGACGU